rnacentral:rRNA from 1 species
UAAGGCCUCUUCGGAGGUACACGAGCGGCGGACGGCUGAGUAACGCGUAGGAACGUACCCCAAAGUGAGGGAUAAGCACCAGAAAUGGUGUCUAAUACCGCAUGUGCUCUACGGAGUAAAGCUACGGCGCUUUGGGAACGGCCUGCGUAUGAUUAGCUUGUUGGUGAGGUAAUGGCUCACCAAGGCGACGAUCAUUAGCUGGUCUGAGAGGAUGAUCAGCCAGACUGGGACUGAGACACGGCCCAGACUCCUACGGGAGGCAGCAGUAGGGAAUUUUCCACAAUGGGGGCAACCCUGAUGGAGCAACGCCGCGUGCAGGAUGAAGGCUUUCGGGUCGUAAACUGCUUUUAUAUGUGACGAAUAUGACGGUAGCAUAUGAAUAAGGAUCGGCUAACUCCGUGCCAGCAGCCGCGGUCAUACGGAGGAUCCAAGCGUUAUCCGGAAUUACUGGGCGUAAAGAGUUGCGUAGGUGGCAUAGUAAGUUGGUAGUGAAAGCGUGUGGCUCAACCAUAUACACAUUACCAAAACUGCUAAGCUAGAGGAUGAGAGAGGUUAUUGGAAUUCCCAGUGUAGGAGUGAAAUCCGUAGAUAUUGGGAGGAACACCGAUGGCGUAGGCAGAUAACUGGCUCAUUCCUGACACUAAGGCACGAAAGCGUGGGGAGCAAACGGGAUUAGAUACCCCGGUAGUCCACGCCGUAAACUAUGGAUGCUAGCUGUUAGAGGUAUCGACCCCUCUAGUAGCGAAGCUAACGCGUUAAGCAUCCCGCCUGUGGAGUACGGUCGCAAGACUAAAACAUAAAGGAAUUGAC